rnacentral:rRNA from 1 species
UACGGGGGGUAAGCGUUGUUCGGAAUUACUGGGCGUAAAGGGCUCGUAGGCGGCCAACUAAGUCAGACGUGAAAUCCCUCAGCUUAACUGGGGAACUGCGUCUGAUACUGGAUGGCUUGGAUUCGGGAGAGGAAUGCGGAAUUCCAGGUGUAGCGGUGAAAUGCGUAGAUAUCUGGAGGAACACCGGUGGCGAAGGCGGCAUUCUGGACCGAUAUUGACGCUGAGGAGCGAAAGCCAGGGGAGCAAACGGGG